CAGAGGUUGUGUGAUGGUCAACAUGUUGUACAGAGGUUGUGUGAUGGUUUUGUCCUGUCAGCAUGUUGUACAGAGGUUGUGUGAUGGUCAGCAUGUUGUACAGAGGUUGUGUGAUGGUUUUGUCCUGUCAGCAUGUUGUACAGAGGUUGUGUGAUGGUUUUGUCCUGUCAGUAUGUUGUACAGAGGUUGUGUGAUGGUCAGUAUGUUGUACAGAGGUUGUGUGAUGGUUUUGUCCUGUCAGCAUGUUGUACAGAGGUUGUGUGAUGGUCAGUAUGUUGUACAGAGGUUGUGUGAUGGUCAGUAUGUUGUACAGAGGUUGUGUGAUGGUCAGUAUGUUGUACAGAGGUUGUGUGAUGGUCAGUAUGUUGUACAGAGGUUGUGUGAUGGUCAGUAUGUUGUACAGAGGUUGUGUGAUGGUCAGUAUGUUGUACAGAGGUUGUGUGAUGGUUUUGUCCUCUCAGCAUGUUGUACAGAGGUUGUGUGAUGGUUUUGUCCUGUCAGUAUGUUGUACAGAGGUUGUGUGAUGGUCAGUAUGUUGUACAGAGGUUGUGUGAUGGUUUUGUCCUCUCAGCAUGUUGUACAGAGGUUGUGUGAUGGUCAGCAUGUUGUACAGAGGUUGUGUGAUGGUUUUGUCCUCUCAGCAUGUUGUACAGAGGUUGUGUGAUGGUUUUGUCCUCUCAGCAUGUUGUACAGAGGUUGUGUGAUGGUCAGCAUGUUGUACAGAGGUUGUGUGAUGGUUUUGUCCUGUCAGCAUGUUGUACAGAGGUUGUGUGAUGGUUUUGUCCUGUCAGCAUGUUGUACAGAGGUUGUGUGAUGGUUUUGUCCUGUCAGCAUGUUGUACAGAGGUUGUGUGAUGGUCAGCAUGUUGUACAGAGGUUGUGUGAUGGUUUUGUCCUGUCAGCAUGUUGUACAGAGGUUGUGUGAUGGUUUUGUCCUGUCAGCAUGUUGUACAGAGGUUGUGUGAUGGUCAACAUGUUGUACAGAGGUUGUGUGAUGGUUUUGUCCUGUCAGCAUGUUGUACAGAGGUUGUGUGAUGGUUUUGUCCUGUCAGCAUGUUGUACAGAGGUUGUGUGAUGGUUUUGUCCUGUCAGCAUGUUGUACAGAGGUUGUGUGAUGGUUUUGUCCUGUCAGCAUGUUGUACAGAGGUUGUGUGAUGGUUUUGUCCUGUCAGCAUGUUGUACAGAGGUUGUGUGAUGGUUUUGUCCUGUCAGCAUGUUGUACAGAGGUUGUGUGAUGGUCAGCAUGUUCUACAGAGGUUGUGUGAUGGUCAGCAUG